UGGGGAAUAUUGCACAAUGGGCGCAAGCCUGAUGCAGCCAUGCCGCGUGUAUGAAGAAGGCCUUCGGGUUGUAAAGUACUUUCAGCGGGGAGGAAGGCGAUGUGGUUAAUAACCGCGUCGAUUGACGUUACCCGCAGAAGAAGCACCGGCUAACUCCGUGCCAGCAGCCGCGGUAAUACGGAGGGUGCAAGCGUUAAUGGGAAUUACUGGGCGUAAAGCGCACGCAGGCGGUCUGUCAAGUCGGAUGUGAAAUCCCCGGGCUCAACCUGGGAACUGCAUCCGAAACUGGCAGGCUUGAGUCUCGUAGAGGGGGGUAGAAUUCCAGGUGUAGCGGUGAAAUGCGUAGAGAUCUGGAGGAAUACCGGUGGCGAAGGCGGCCCCCUGGACGAAGACUGACGCUCAGGUGCGAAAGCGUGGGGAGCAAACA
rnacentral:rRNA from 1 species